GACGAACGCUGGCGGCGUGCUUAACACAUGCAAGUCGAACGGAAAGGCCCUGCUUUUGUGGGGUGCUCGAGUGGCGAACGGGUGAGUAACACGUAAGUAACCUGCCCUUGACUUUGGGAUAACUUCAGGUAACUGGGGCUAAUACCCGAUAGGAGCUCCUGCUGCAUGGUGGGGGUUGGAAUGUUUCGGCGGUUGGGGAUGGACUCGCGGCUUCUCAGCUUGUUGGUGGGGUGGUGGCUUACCAAGGCUUUGACGGGUAGCCGGCCUGGGAGGGUGACCGGCCACAUUGGGACUGAGAUGCGGCCCAGACUCCUACGGGAGGCAGCGGUGGGGAAUAGUGCACAAGGGGCGGAAGCCUGAUGCAGCAACGCCGCGUGCGGGAUGACGGCCUGCGGGUUGUAAACCGCUUUCGCCUGUGACGAAGCGUGAGUGACGGUAAUGGAUAAAGAAGCACCGGCUAACUACGUG
rnacentral:rRNA from 1 species